rnacentral:rRNA from 1 species
UACGGGGGGGGCAAGCGUUGUUCGGAUUUACUGGGCGUAAAGGGCGCGUAGGCGGCGCGGUAAGUCACUUGUGAAAUCUCUGAGCUUAACUCAGAACGGCCAAGUGAUACUGCAGUGCUAGAGUGUGGAAGGGGCAAUCGGAAUUCCUGGUGUAGCGGUGGAAUGCGCAGAUAUCAGGAGGAACACCGGUGGCGAAGGCGGGUCUCUGGGCCGAUACUGACGCUGAGGAGCGAAAGCGUGGGGAGCGAACAGG